rnacentral:tRNA from 1 species
ACCUGGGUGGCUUAGUGAGUUGAGCAUCUGACUUCAGCUCAGGUCAUGAUCUUGCAGUUCGUGAGUUCAAGCCCCACAUCGGGCU